AUGGCGCCAAAGGCCAAGAAGGGAGCUCCUGGCACACAUCCUGCGCCUGCCCCUCCUAAAACCAAAGCCAAAGCAAAGGCAUUGAAGGCCAGGAAAGCAGUCCACAGCCACAAAAAAAGAAGAUCUGCAUGUCACCCAGUUUUCAGAGGCCCAAGACUCUGUGGCUCCAGAGGCAGCCCAAAUAUCCUCAGAAGAGUGCUGCCAGGAGAAACAAGCUUGACCAUUAUGCCAUCAUCAAGUUUCCCCUGACCAUUGAGUCUGCCAUGAAGAAAAUAGAAGACAACAACACACUUGUGUUCAUUGUGGAUAUUAAAGCCAACAAGCACCAGAUAAAACAGGCUGUGAAGAAGCUCUAUGACAUUGAUGUUGACAAGGUCAACUCCCUGAUUAGGCCUGAUGGAGAGAAGAAGGCAUAUGUUCGACUGGCUCCUGAUUAUGAUGCUUUGGAUAUUUCCAACAAAAUUGGGAUCAUUUAA